ACACGGGGAUGCUUAGUACGGCGAGUGAAGCGGCAAAAGCUCAAAUUUGAAAUCUGGUACCUUCGGUGCCCGAGUUGUAAUUUGGAGAGGGCAACUUUGGGGCCGUUCCUUGUCUAUGUUCCUUGGAACAGGACGUCAUAGAGGGUGAGAAUCCCGUGUGGCGAGGAGUGCGGUUCUUUGUAAAGUGCCUUCGAAGAGUCGAGUUGUUUGGGAAUGCAGCUCUAAGUGGGUGGUAAAUUCCAUCUAAAGCUAAAUAUUGGCGAGAGACCGAUAGCGAACAAGUACAGUGAUGGAAAGAUGAAAAGAACUUUGAAAAGAGAGUGAAAAAGUACGUGAAAUUGUUGAAAGGGAAGGGCAUUUGAUCAGACAUGGUGUUUUGUGCCCUCUGCUCCUUGUGGGUAGGGGAAUCUCGCAUUUCACUGGGCCAGCAUCAGUUUUGGUGGCAGGAUAAAUCCAUAGGAAUGUAGCUUGCCUCGGUAAGUAUUAUAGCCUGUUGGGAAUACUGCCAGCUGGGACUGAGGACUGCGACGUAAGUCAAGGAUGCUGGCAUAAUGGUUAUAUGCCGCCCGUCUGA
rnacentral:rRNA from 1 species